rnacentral:other from 1 species
AACAUCCUGCUCUGUUCGCGGACGUUUGGCAUUUAUAACCCUACAACCUUUUAAAAGGGAGUUCGGCUCGGUCGGCGGGUAUGCAGGCCUCCCGAGGUAUUGAAAGAUAUAUUUUGGACGUUGGAAGCACAAAACCGAACGGAGAACACCCACCUGCUACAAGCAGGUUAUAAUCUGCCCGAUACGGCAGAGCGGGAGCAA